rnacentral:rRNA from 1 species
CCUACGGGAGGCAGCAGUGAGGAAUAUUGGUCAAUGGGCGCGAGCCUGAACCAGCAAAGUCGCGUGAGGGAAGACGGUCCUAUGGAUUGUAAACCUCUUUUGUCGGGGAGCAAAAGACGCCACGCGUGGCGUUCCGAGAGUACCCGAAGCCAAAGCAUCAGCUAACUCCGUGCCAGCAGCCGCUGUAAUACGGAGGAUGCGAGCGUGAUCCGGUUUUAUUGGGUUUAAGGGGUGCGCAGGGGGAAGAUCAAGGCAGCGGUAAAAUUGAGAGGCUCAACCUCUUUGAGCGGUGGAAACUGGUUUUCUUGAGUGAGCGAGAAGUAUGCGGAAUGCGUGGUGUAGCGGUGAAAUGCAUAGAUAUCACGCAGAACUCCGAUUGCGAAGGCAGCAUACCGGCGCUCAACUGACGCUCAUGCACGAAAGUGUGGGUAGCGAACAGGAUUAGAUACCCGGGUAGUC